rnacentral:rRNA from 1 species
UGAUGUUCCCCUUGAACGAGGAAUUCCUAGUAAGUGCAAGUCAUCAGCUUGUACUGAUUACGUCCCUGCCCUUUGUACACACCGCCCGUCGCUCCUACCGAUUUCGAGUGAUCCGGUGAACCUUCUGGACUGCGCUAACACUAGUUAGUGCGGGAAGUUAAGUAAACCACUUCACUUAGAGGAAGGAGAAGUCGUAACAAGGUUUCCGUAGGUGAACCUGCGGAAGGAUCAUU